CUAAUGAUGAAAAUAUUGGUCCGUGUUUAUGAUAUUGUUUGAUUAUAUUUUUCAAACCUCUACUGAGCGAA